AUUCUGGCUCAGGAUGAACGCUAGCUACAGGCUUAACACAUGCAAGUCGAGGGGCAGCAUUGGAGUAGCAAUACUCAGAUGGCGACCGGCGCACGGGUGAGUAACACGUAUCCAACCUGCCGCUUACUCGGGGAUAGCCUUUCGAAAGAAAGAUUAAUACCCGAUGGUAUAAAGAGUUCGCAUGUUCUCUUUAUUAAAGAAUUUCGGUAAGCGAUGGGGAUGCGUUCCAUUAGAUAGUUGGCGGGUAACGGCCCACCAAGUCUACGAUGGAUAGGGGUUCUGAGAGGAAGGUCCCCCACAUUGGAACUGAGACACGGUCCAAACUCCUACGGGAGGCAGCAGUGAGGAAUAUUGGUCAAUGGACGAGAGUCUGAACCAGCCAAAGUAGCGUGAAGGAUGACUGCCCUAUGGGUUGUAAACUUCUUUUAUAAGGGAAUAAAGUGAGGGACGUGUCCCUUUUUGUAUGUACCUUAUGAAUAAGGAUCGGCUAACUCCGUGCCAGCCGCGGC
rnacentral:rRNA from 1 species